rnacentral:rRNA from 1 species
UACAGAGGGUGCGAGCGUUGUUCGGAAUCACUGGGCGUAAAGCGCGCGUAGGCGGCUACUUAAGUCGGAUGUGAAAUCCCCGGGCUCAACCUGGGAACUGCAUUUGUGACUGCACAGCUUGAGUGCGGCAGAGGGGGAUGGAAUUCCGCGUGUAGCAGUGAAAUGCGUAGAUAUGCGGAGGAACACCGAUGGCGAAGGCAAUCCCCUGGGCCUGCACUGACGCUCAUGCACGAAAGCGUGGGGAGCAAACAGG